rnacentral:rRNA from 1 species
UGGGGAAUAUUGCGCAAUGGACGAAAGUCUGACGGAGCGACGCCGCGUGAUGGAUGAAGUCCCUCUGGGACGUAAACAUCUUUUAUGAGGGAGAAAGUUUAUUGAUAGUACCUCACGAAUAAGGGGUUGCUAAACUCGUGCCAGCAGCAGCGGUAAUACGAGUGCCCCGAGCGUUAUCCGGAAUCAUUGGGCGUAAAGGGUGUGUAGGUGGCAUUGUUAGUCACACGUUAAACCCUGGGGCCUAACCCCAGAUCUGCGUGUGAUACGGCAAAGCUAGAGGAUGGCAGGGAUGUAUGGAACUCAUGGAGUAGGGGUGAAAUCCGUUGAUAUCAUGGGGAACACCGAAAGCGAAGGCAGUACAUUGGGCCACUCCUGACACUGAAACACGAAAGCGUGGGUAGCGAAUGGGAUUAGAUACCCUUGUAGUCCCUGAGCGGGCUGGCAAGGCGCAU